rnacentral:pre_miRNA from 1 species
AGUGGAAUUGCUGGGUCAUAUGGUAGUUCUAUUUUUAGUUUUUUGAGGAAUGAUCACACUGUUUUCCAAAACAGCUGGACCAUUUUGCAUUCCCACCAGCCAU